ACGUACACUCCUACGGGAGGCAGCAGUGGGGAAUAUUGCACAAUGGGCGCAAGCCUGAUGCAGCCAUGCCGCGUGUAUGAAGAAGGCCUUCGGGUUGUAAAGUACUUUCAGCGGGGAGGAAGGUGUUGAGGUUAAUAACCUCAGCAAUUGACGUUACCCGCAGAAGAAGCACCGGCUAACUCCGUGCCAGCAGCCGCGGUAAUACGGAGGGUGCAAGCGUUAAUCGGAAUUACUGGGCGUAAAGCGCACGCAGGCGGUCUGUCAAGUCGGAUGUGAAAUCCCCGGGCUCAACCUGGGAACUGCAUUCGAAACUGGCAGGCUAGAGUCUUGUAGAGGGGGGUAGAAUUCCAGGUGUAGCGGUGAAAUGCGUAGAGAUCUGGAGGAAUACCGGUGGCGAAGGCGGCCCCCUGGACAAAGACUGACGCUCAGGUGCGAAAGCGUGGGGAGCAAACAGGAUUAGAAACCCCAGUAGUCCC
rnacentral:rRNA from 1 species